GAUGAACGCUGGCGGCGUGCCUAACACAUGCAAGUCGAGCGAGAAGCAGGAGACGGAGAUUUCGAUUGAAGUAUUCUGUGGAAAGCGGCGGACGGGUGAGUAACGCGUAGGCAACCUGCCCUUUGCAGAGGGAUAGCCUCGGGAAACCGGGAUUAAAACCUCAUGAAACGAAAGUGCCGCAUGGCAUUUUGGUCAAAGAUUUAUCGGCAGAGGAUGGGCCUGCGUCUGAUUAGUUAGUUGGUGGGGUAACGGCCUACCAAGGCGACGAUCAGUAGCCGACCUGAGAGGGUGAACGGCCACAUUGGAACUGAGACACGGUCCAAACUCCUACGGGAGGCAGCAGUGGGGAAUAUUGCACAAUGGGGGGAACCCUGAUGCAGCAACGCCGCGUGAGCGAAGAAGGCCUUUGGGUCGUAAAGCUCUGUCCUAAGGGAAGAAGGAAGUGACGGUACCUUAGGAGGAAGCCCCGGCUAACUACGUGCCAGCAGCCGCAGUAAUAC
rnacentral:rRNA from 1 species